CCUUCUCAUCUGAAACAUUUUAUAUCUGAAUUUUGCUAUUCAGUUAUUGAAUUUCUGGGUUAAUCCUAUGAUUUUAAAAUCCUUCUUUUUAGUGUAUUUUUUGUUCUAUAUUGUUUCCUUCCCUACAUUUUUUUCAGAUGUUAAGAACUUUUACUUAUUGCAAUUUUUAACUGAAAAAUUACUUUCUGUUAUUUCCCUUGGACACAUCAUCUUCUAUUUUCUCACAGGGUAUUAUUAUUUUUUGAAUUAUUUAUAUUUUUCCAUUGUAGUUGGUUUACAGUGUUCUGUCAAUGUUUUACUGUACAGCAAAGUGACCCAGUCUCUCUCUCUCACACACACACACACACACACACACACACACACAUACACAUUCUUUUUUUCACUUUAUCCUCCAUCAUGUUCCGAAACAAGUGACUGGAUGUAGUUCCCUGUGCUACACAGCAGGACCUCAUUUCUUAUCCACUCCAAAUGCAACAGUUUGCAUCUGUUAACCCCAAGCUCCCAGUCCAUCCACCAGUCUGUUCUCCAAGUCCAUGUAUUGCUUUUCUCACAGGGUAUUAUUUUUAUAAUUUUAAGAAUUCUAAAUUUUCCUACUAUGUAUGUGUUUUAUGCGAUUUCCUUAGACCUACUUUUUUGGUUUGUUUUGAAACCUUUCACUUAGAAAAUUUCCAAACAUAUCUGGUGAUCCUUACCUUCCUAUUGGUAAUUUAAAAUAUAAUACAAAACACACUUUGGACCCUCUGUAUGUAAAAAUGGAACUUGUCCAUUAGUAAUCUUUACUAAAGCAAUCAGGUAAAUACAAUUAUUGCAACAUGAUACCUGCAAAACCAUUAAUAUCAGUCUUCGUUUUCUUGGAGGCCAUUUAUUAUCCCCCCAAAAGAAUGCCCUAAUCUGCUGGUGACAGGCAAAGGCGAGGAUGGCGGGCUUUUAUUCUAAUGCUUGUUUUUCUUCAUAUCAUCACAGGCCCUAAAUUACAGCCUCCAAUGUGCCCCAUACUCCUGAGACGGGAGCUUCAAUUCCAGACUGGUAGUCCCGUCUACCAGAAAGUAAACUUUCCAUUUUCUUCAUGGGGAUGAUGUUAGAUGACUGAGGGGAUCUAUGAGACGUGUGUCUGCUCUUUCAAAGAGCCACUGCAAGCAGAUGGAAAGAGACUGGGGACUCAAACUCUUGACAUGUAUGUUUUUACUAUAGACCCGAUUUCAGUCUCAUAUCAUCCCCUUAUGUUCAAAGGCAUUUACUAUCUCUGACAGCAGUAUUUCCCAGAGUCAAUUACACUUGCUAAUAAAUGUGAUGUUAGAUUUUAUGAGGUUUAUCUUCUAAAGGGGAGGGGGACAGAAUUCACUAUUUUCCACCUAAAAAAAUAUUUUUUCCAAUGCCACUAAGUAUGUUAGAUGAUAGCUCUAUGGCCACUAAUUUUGAGAGUUUAAAAAAAAAUAUUUAUUGAAAUUAUUGGUAUAUAGGUUGCAUCUAAAAUUAAAGAAAAUAGAGUUCCUGGAUCAGACGUUUCAAUGCACCUCUUCCUUGGGUAUUUAAUUUCAGAUCCAAUGUGAUGGCUGCUCGUGGUGUCUAUUGCCAUUUGUCUCCUAUUAGUCAAGCCUCCACUAUUUCAAUUCCAAUUUUCAUAUCAAAAUUAUCAUGUUCAAGUUAUUGUGUGGUUUCUGAUUGAUCCAUUGCAACCCCCAAAAAGAACUGGUAAUAAACCAAUACAAUGGACUAUUUAUCAGCAAUAAAACAAAACACACUUCCGACAUAUUUGAUUAAUAUUGGUAACAAGAGAUAGAAGAUAGAGAAAAGGACUACCUACUGUAAGAUUUAAUUUACAAGAUUCUGAAAAAUUGAAUAGUGCAGAAAUCCUAUCCAUCAAUGACUGCAAGAGCAGGUUUGAGGAUGAAGCAAAUAUUCUAUAUCUUGUUUCUGGUAGUGGUUCCAGGACUGCAUGCAUUUGUCAACUUCACCAAACACGUAUGUCUACAAAUGGUGAAAUUAAUGUACCUAAAUCACACCGCAAUAAACCUGAACCAAAAAGAAAACAAUAAUAUAUGUAUGUUUUACUGCUAUAGAGACAUAGUAUUCAUUACAGAAUUAGAGGCUCUGUUCUCUAUGGUUCCAAACAAAUUUAUCAGUCUUUUGCUCACUUAGAGAAUAUUCUUAACAUUCCUGUACAUGCUCCAGUGAUUUUUCAAAAUUAUGACUUAUUUCAUUUCAUGUUGUCCUCAUGUUCUCCCACAGUUUGUUUUCUCUUAAGUUAAUGAGUAUUUUUUUUUCCUAAAAUUUUGCUAUUAUCAUAUCCUCGACAUCUUUUAAGGUUUUAGUUAUACUCUGCUGCAAAAUACGCUUUCUCAAAGUCUUAGAUUUUCUCCACCUCUGUCCCAACCAAAUUGGAAAUUGUUAUUUUUGCCCUGCCCUUCCCUUUUUCUAUUUUUUUAGAUUCAUUAUCAGAUCUCAUGUUUUCUUCCUUAUUGCUUGUUUUAAUAUUUUUACUAUAAAUUCACCAUGAUUUCCUAAAAAUGUAUGAAUGUGAGCUCACUUGUGUGAUGCCUUAAAAUAUCUUUUUUUUCUACAAAAUUUGAAUUAAUAGAUAUAAAAUUGCAGGCUGAGGGUAGUCUCUCACAGACACUUAAGACCUCAUUUCCUUUAAACUUUAGGUGUUGUAAAUGAGACGACCAGUGCCAAAUAGAUUCUUAUUCUUUCGUUGAUAACCUUUCUUUUUUUUCUCUCUUAGAAGUUUUUAGUUGGUAUCUUAAAGUGAUGUGUUAGGUGUCCAUCUCUGUAUCCACUUUUGUUCAUGUUUCCAGAAAGUUGAUUAAAGUCCUUUCACUUUGAAGGCGUCGACUAUCUGCUCAGGAAAAUCUCCUGAAAUGAGUUCCUUGAUAAUUUUCUAUUUCAUGAAGAUUCUUUGGAAUGAAUGCCGUGGGUUUCUGGUAAUUACCCUUUUCCCAACACUAUCCUGUAUUUUGCUAAGUGUUACUGUCUUAUGAUGUGACUCACUCUGCUCUAAGUGCAGUUGGUUUGUCUGAGGGAGACCUGUGAACUAAGAAGAGUCAGUGAGUUCCUAGGAAUUUUUAACAUGACAUAAGAAAUGAGUUUAAGCUGUUUUUAUUUCCAGGAGCUGAAUUUUAGGUUGUAAAAGGUUUAAUUAAUCAUGAUGCAGAGAAAGUCAAGAUGAGAAAUGGGUUAUAACUAUACCAAUGCCUAUUUCUAUAUCUCCAUUUUUGUCUACAUCUGUGACCACUAUAUCUAUAUCAAAUCAAUACCUAGAUGAUUCAUGAUGGCUGUUACUAUCUUUAGCUGCAGUUUUCAGCCAGGGGAAAUUUUGCCUCCAUGGGACACUUGGCUGUCACACUAAAGGAGGGGCUCCUAGCAUUACGUCAGUGUCAGAGUUUCUGCUCACCAUCCUAAGUCCACAGGACAGCCUCCCCCAAUAAGGAAAUAUUCAGUUCACAAUGUCACCAUGGCCAGGUUUGAGAAACCCUGAUCCAGAGAGAUCUUUAGAAAAAAUGAGAUUCCCUGGUUAUUUCCCCCCAUGAUUAUUCACUUCUUAUUUUCUGAAAAUAUCCCAUUAUCAUUAAAGUUCAUUUCUCUUUUCUGCUUAAGCCAAUUUAAAUGAUUUUUCAGUUUAUUUUAACAAAGAACAGCUGAACUAGCAGUUACUUUUUCUAUACAUUUUAGUGUACAUCAAAUAGUGGCAGGUAUAAUAGAUUUAAAUGAUAUUAUUUCUUUGGCUGCCUUAUGUGCUUGUAUCUGAAACAAUACCAGUUUUUACUGCAAUUGAGAAAAUAGAAUUGUAAAAGUUUUGCCUCUAUAGCGCUGUUGUGUUACUUUAAUAUUUUAAGCAUUUCAACAGUUUAUUUCAGUCAUGAUGUAAACAGUGGUGAAAAUAAUAUUUUUAAAAGCUAAAUGAAUAGUGUACAAUAUAAAAAUAAUAUUCAGUGUAAAAUCUACUAAUGUAUAAACCUCCUUUGCUUUCGGCUGCCAGGCUGGAGAUAUUGAUGCCUAUUAGCAGCCAAAACGUGUUCUGAAUCAGAAAAUGAUGUUUGAUUUCAAGCCAAGAUUUUUUUCCAAAGAAGAGAUUCCUGAAAUCUGUACUUCUCUAGUAAGUAACAAACUUUCCCUGAGGUAGUGAGUACUGGAUGCCUUCACUAUCCAAAUUGGAGAAGGCUACAAGUAUGAGAAAAUAUGAGUGUGAAGAAUGGGAAAAUAGUUACAUAUUAUUAAGUAGUUCAAAAUAUUAUUCUUCUCUAAAUGAAAGAAAAACAAAUAUCCAAAUGUCCUUGCACAGAUUACCAGUGCAUGUGUGUAUUUUUUGACAUUUUUUUUUACCAAAAAUUUAGAUGCUAAUAUUAAAUUAUCUGUUGUUUAAGUAAACACUUCGAUGACACUAUAUCAGCUAACAUGCCGUUCCUUAGCCAGAAGUUAUUGAACUCAGUUUGGCUCUAACAAUCAGAAGAAAGUAUUGGCUCACAAAAUUAAAUGCCCAGAGGUGAUUCUAGCUUUUGGACAGGUUACUUUAGCAGUUCAAAGUUGUUACUGAGUUCUUUUUCCUUCCUCACCAUUCUAUAUUCUAGUGUAAAUUCUAUCUUAAGGCAAACUCCCAGUGUACUCUCAAGAUAACUGCCAAUAACCUUGUAGGAUGUGGCAUAUGUUUCCUUGAACUAAUACACAGAGAGUAAAGAGAGUUCUAGAAGCUAUUUCAUAGGGCAAGAUUUCUUACUUCUUAUUAGUUACCAGAAAUAACAAUUUAGUUCAUAUGCUUACACACUGACUAGCACUGGACAUCCUUCCCAAACUUUGAUGUAAAUAUGGCUGCAUAUGUCAGUUACCUCUGGACACUUUGAAGUGUGGAUUCUGAUUCAGCAAGUCUGUGUUGAGAUGAGAUAAUUUAUAUUUUUAAAAGGUUUCUAGGCAACACUUAUGCUAAAGGAUAAAGAAGAUGUGGUGCUUAUACACAAUGGUAUAUUAUUCAACCAUAAAAAAGAAUGAAAUAAUGCCAUUUGGAGCAACAUGGAUGGACCUAGAGAUUGUCAUAACAAGUGAAGUUAAGUUAGACAAAGUUAGACCAAAAAAACAUCAUAUGCAAUCACUUAUAUGUGAAAGCUAAAAAAGGAUACAAGUGAACUUAUGUGCAGAACAGAAACAGACUCAUAGACUUUUAAAACAAACUUAUGGUUACCCAAGGGGACAGGU
rnacentral:lncRNA from 9 species